rnacentral:tRNA from 1 species
GAGGGUAUAGCUCAGUGGUAGAGUAUAUGGUUAGUGUGCAUGAGGUCCGGGGUUCCAGCCCCAGUACCUCCA